UACGUAGGGGGCUAGCGUUGUUCGGAUUUACUGGGCGUAAAGCGCUCGUAGGCGGGUUGUUAAGUCAGGGGUGAAAUCCUGGAGCUCAACUCCAGAACUGCCUUUGAUACUGAAGAUCUUGAGUUCGGGAGAGGUGAGUGGAACUGCGAGUGUAGAGGUGAAAUUCGUAGAUAUUCGCAAGAACACCAGUGGCGAAGGCGGCUCACUGGCCCGAUACUGACGCUGAGGCGCGAAAGCGUGGGGAGCAAACAGG
rnacentral:rRNA from 1 species